UACGUAGGUGGCAAGCGUUGUCCGGAUUUACUGGGCGUAAAGGGAGCGUAGGCGGACUUUUAAGUGAGAUGUGAAAUACCCGGGCUCAACCUGGGUGCUGCAUUUCAAACUGGAAGUCUAGAGUGCAGGAGAGGAGAAUGGAAUUCCUAGUGUAGCGGUGAAAUGCGUAGAGAUUAGGAAGAACACCAGUGGCGAAGGCGAUUCUCUGGACUGUAACUGACGCUGAGGCUCGAAAGCGUGGGGAGCAAACACG
rnacentral:rRNA from 1 species